UGGGCAGCAUCCCUUUAGGUUCUAUUUGUAGAGCUGGGCUAAUUGUGAGGAGGCCAAUAAAACAGUCCACAGUAACCCUCAUGCCCCAUGCAUUAAUAGACUCAAGCUAUGAAUUGGAACGAACGCUGCAGAAAUUCUUAGGAUUAUAGAUUCCAAAUGUGACUAGCAGAAAGGAUCUUUUCAGAAGCCCGGCUGCUGGCAAUCAAUCGUUCAAUUGAAUAUAAAGGAGAAUCAGAAAAAAAUCUGUACAAAGCAUUAUUGUUCAAUCCAACGAAACAAUUGACAAGCUGUACACAAGAUAUGGUUGCAGUAACAAUCCGGGUGGAUGACCCCUUAGGACAGAGGUUACAGAGGAACUUAAAGGCUCCUCAAAAGACAGCAAUAUUGGGCAGCAUCCCUUUAGGUUCUAUUUGUAGAGCUGGGCUAAUUGUGAGGAGGCCAAUAAAACAGUCCACAGUAACCCUCAUGCCCCAUGCAUUAAUAGACUCAAGUUUGCGGCAUUUAUUUACCAAAGCUAGAAGUCCAUUCUCAGUUACAUGACGGCAGCCCCACAGCACAAUAGUCUGCAAAAGAGAUGGCCAAGUUUUAGUAUCUUAAAAGUCCCAUGAAUCGAUGAAUUUUCAAGUUAUAUCUAAUUACAGUGGAGAAAGUAAAAAAAGAUGCAAGAAACUGCUAUUGAAUCGGUGAUGCAAUUGCAGACGUACAACCUUAAGGUGUGGAAUUUUUGG
rnacentral:lncRNA from 1 species